rnacentral:tRNA from 1 species
UAGUUUCUGUAGUUGAAUAACAACAAUGGUUUUUCAUAUCAUAGGUUUUGGUUUAAGUCCGAGCAGGAAUUAUGAUAUA